GGAAGUUUGCAAUACACAGCAUAGCAUAUGUUUUUAGUGCAAUCUGUUGUCAAAAUACGGUGCCAAAUUCUGUGCGCAUUUGAAUGUGCUUAACCACAACUACUAAGAUGAAUUGUAUGCUUCUGGGGACAAUUUCCACUUCCAACAAGACAUGUUUUAUUUUACAUAUUAUAAGAUCUAUUGCUUAACUUACCUUGUCUGUAUCUACCAGUCUGUGCAGCCCUGCAGCCCAGCUGGGAUAGCAUUGCCAGCACUAGUUACAGGCCACAGGCUCUGUGCUGCCUUGGUAAGGCCUCAGGAGUGAGGAAUGUCAGGCUUUGUUUGAACUUCUUUUGGCCAGCCUGGAGCUUUCUUUUAGCUUGUUCAGUUGUACAGGAAUUUUCCUAGUAACCAGUGGGCUAUGCCUGGCUUACAUGGCUUCUACUUCUCUUUUUAAUUAAAAAUGAAGUGUAGAUGAAUGCGGGCAUGGUGUAACUGCAGGGGCCUCAAAAAUGGAGAUGGAGGACACAGUAUAAGGGAUUACAUACAAGGGAUGAGAAGAAAAAGGGCAGAGGAUUACAGCAGAGACCAAGUGGGAGCUACUGCCCUCAGUGCGAAGAUGACAGAACCCACCACGCACUACCUGAAGGUGCUUCUUUAUCACAUCAUCAGCCUUUUAAAGGUCAGAACAAAAGGCAGAGAACCGGCAGUCCUGUGGACACUGGACAUUGGUAACUGGGCCAUAAAAUUUCUGCUGUCUCAAGCAAUCCAGUAAUUAACUGUACAGCUGAAAUGAGUGUCUCACCUUCAGCCCUUAUCACCAGGAAAACAGCAUAGUGCAAAUGCAAGAUGAGAGUGAAUCUAGUCUGGAGUUGAAACUGCGUUCUUGGUGAGGUCCGCUGUAACCUCUUACUCAGGAAUGUUGCCACUACCACUGCUGAGGACACAGUACGCUAACCUGAGUAUAACAAAAGAAGGCUUUGUGAUU
rnacentral:lncRNA from 1 species